CUGUGCGUAAAGCCAAAAAAAGAUUAUACGGUGGAUCAUGAGAAUAUUGAGAUUUGAUAUUGCAAUCAAAAUAUGUUGCGUCAAAUUUGAAUGAGUUGCCCAUCUGUGUUGACCAUAAACAUAUUAGGAGUUUGAAGCUUAUGUUAGUUUGAAAUUUAACUUGACAUUUUUAACACCCUAGGUAAAAAAUAGGAUUCGAAUUCAAAACCUUUGCUCAAAUUUGAUACAUGUUUAGUAAUGUGAAACAAUCGAAAUUAUUUAGAAGCUUAUAUUAUUUUUAUUUUUUUUUUUCAUAUUUUAAGUUGAACGGUAUAUAGUUAUAUAUAUACAUGUUUAGCAUUAUAUGUAUAUUUAUUUAGUUGAAAAUAAAUAUUUUCUUUCUCUCAAGUGGUUGUUUGUGAUUUCCUUCUUUAUCCUAUGCUACUGUGAAGUUAGUCAGGAAACUGCACCUUGACUCAAUUUAAUGGAUGGUUUUCUCUAUCAAAAAUAAAAAAGAUUUAUUCUGUCAUGUGUUUUUCUAAAGAAGAUGCUCAUAGGCCACUAUAUAGGACGGUUUCCAAUAAUUCUAAGUACCCGAAAUAAUUAAGAAUGAUAGACUAUAUAUUGCACACAUUUUUAUCAUUGCUACCAAUUAUUCAAUAGGCUAUUUCAUCAAAAUAAUAAUAAUAAUAAUAAAGAAAAACUUCAAAUACCCUCAUGUGUUUCACACUUUCUCACUUUACUUCAAAAUGGAUAAUAAAAAGAAAAAAUUAAAGCCACAUGAUACUAACUUAAUACAAAAAUGAAACCACAUGCUACUAACUUAAUACACUUGAAAUCACAGGGUACUAACUUGAUACAUUUUAAACCACAAGGUACUAAAGUAAGAAAGUGCCAACCACUGGAGGGGUAUUUGAAAUUUCUCCUAAUAAUAAAGCACACAAUAUAUAUAAUGGUUCAUUAACAGAUACAAUAGACUAAAUUACAAAAAAAAUUUCCGUCAAUACUCAUUUCUUUACUCUUUUUUUUUUUUGAUUUUUAAAAAUUUAUAUUUUACCCUCUUAGAAACUAAGAAAUAUUCACUUCAGCUACCGCUGUUAGUGUUCCGUUAAAAUUCUAUUUAUAUUAUAUUAUCAUAUAUUUUUUAUAUCCAAAAUACUCUUAAAAUCUUCAUCUUAAAUGCGCCUCUUCCUUCCUCACCGACGUCCGCGGUCGCACCGCCUCGCCCUCAUCCUCAUCCUCGCCCUCAUUCUCGCCCAUACCUCUAUCUGUGCUCACACACAUGCUCUCGUCUUACUCCGCCUCCUCACCCUCGCCCUCACCCAACUUUCCGUCCACGCCCGCUACGAUCUAGAUCGUCCCUACAGUUGCCGAAAUGGAGGGGCGGUGAGAGUAAUGGAGGAACAGGGGAGUAGAUAAAGAAAACAAAAUUAGAGCUAUAGUUGAGAGGGCGUGAAGAACGGAGAACGAGAGUCUGCGGAUGAGCAGAAUUGGAAAGGAGAUGGAAGAUGAGAGACAAUUUGAUUAUUUUGUUAUUAGAGCUAACACCGUCCUCCUAUAAAUAUUUUUUAUUUUUUAGAAAUACAAAAUGUAAAUUUUUAAAGGACAAAAAAAAUAAAAAAUUGAAUUUUGAUAUAUAUAUAUUUUUAUAUAAUUUAGCGAAU
rnacentral:lncRNA from 1 species